UUUGGGGGCGCCCAGGUGGGUUCAGGGGGUGCCCAGGUGCCCCCAGGUGACCCCCAGGUGCCCCCCCUUGCAGACAGAGCACCCCUACAAGUCCAAGAAGGCCGUGUGGCACAAGCUCCUGUCCAAGCAGCGGCGCCGCGCCGUCGUGGCCUGCUUCAGGAUGACCCCCCUGUACAACCUGCCCAGGCACCGCGCCUGUAACAUGUUCCUGGAGUCGUACCGGCUCUCGUGGCUGGGGAUACUGGGCGAUACUGGGCGAUACUGGGCGGCACUGGGCAGCACUGGGAUGGCACUGGGCGAUACUGGGUGACACUGGGAUGGUACUGGGCGAUACUGGGCGACACUGGUGGAUACUGGUGCAUACUGGUUUAUACUGGUUCCGCAGGCACCGCGCCUGUAACAUGUUCCUGGAGUCGUACCGGCUCUCGUGGCUGGGCGAUACUGGGAUGGCACUGGGGAUACUGGGAUGAUACUGGGCGGCACUGGGUGGCACUGGGC
rnacentral:lncRNA from 12 species